rnacentral:lncRNA from 11 species
CAGAUUGAAAAAACAGCUGUUGGUUUCUUUAAAGCUGGGAUGUGUGUGAGAGAGGAAUUCAAAGAAAGUCACUGUGAGCCAUCCGGGGAAAGCUGUUGCCUAUUACCAUAUCGCUAGCAAAAUUGUACUUAUUAGACGGCAAUAGAGGCCGUGGAAGUGUUUCGCUCAUUUAUGCUGGCACAGAGGUCUCUGAAUGUGGUGAUUGUUUUCCGAGGCUUCCAUCCUGCUUCACUGAAAUCGUGGGGAGCUUGGCUGUUGGCUUCAACUGGAGCAGAACUGCAUGCACCCCAGGACACUGGGGUCCUCUGCAGGGACCAACCAACCAGAACGCGACUGGAGACCAUCACUCAGAGGACCUUUUCAUUGGCCGCCCCACAACUGUGGAAUGAC